rnacentral:rRNA from 1 species
UACGGAGGGUGCAAGCGUUGUCCGGAAUCACUGGGCGUAAAGGGCGCGUAGGCGGCUCAUGAAGGCUGUGGUGAAAGUCCGGGGCUCAACCUCGGAUCGGCCGUGGCGACUCGUGGGCUGGAGCACUGUAGAGGCGGGUGGAAUUCCGGGUGUAGCGGUGGAAUGCGUAGAGAUCCGGAAGAACACCAGUGGCGAAGGCGGCCCGCUGGGCAGUGCUGACGCUGAGGCGCGACAGCGUGGGGAGCAACAGG